UACGUAGGGUGCAAGCGUUAAUCGGAAUUACUGGGCGUAAAGCGUGCGCAGGCGGUUGUGCAAGACAGAUGUGAAAGCCCCGGGCUUAACCUGGGAAUGGCAUUUGGGACUGCAAGGCUGGAGUGUGGCAGAGGAGACUGGAAUUCCUGGUGUAGCGGUGAAAAUGCGCAGAUAUCAGGAGGAACACCGGUGGCGAAGGCGGAUCUCUGGGCCAUUACUGACGCUGAGGAGCGAAAGCGUGGGGAGCGAACAGG
rnacentral:rRNA from 1 species